AUUGAACGCUGGCGGAAUGCUUUACACAUGCAAGUCGAACGGCAGCACGGGUGCUUGCACCUGGUGGCGAGUGGCGAACGGGUGAGUAAUGCACCGGAACGUAUCCAAUAAUGGGGGAUAACGCACCGAAAGGUGUGCUAAUACCGCAUACGCCCUGAGGGGGAAAGCGGGGGAUCGUAAGACCUCGCGUUAAUGGAGCGGCCGAUGCCGGAUUAGCUAGUUGGUGAGGUAAAGGCUCACCAAGGCGACGAUCCGUAGCUGGUCUGAGAGGACGACCAGCCACGCUGGAACUGAGACACGGUCCAGACUCCUACGGGAGGCAGCAGUGGGGAAUUUUGGACAAUGGGCGCAAGCCUGAUCCAGCCAUUCCGCGUGAGUGAAGAAGGCC
rnacentral:rRNA from 1 species